UUCUUUUUCGCCUUUUAUUUUCCUUAUAUCUUGUUCUUGACUUGCUAUAUUUUUCAUCUGGAUUGGUGUUUCUGUUUUUAUAUGCUUAGAAUUUAUAAUGAGAAAAAUGAGACAUUUAUGAUAAAACAUUGUGGUACCGUGAGAAAUUCAAGUGGUGCUGGCUUCUACAUUGUUCAAGAAAACGGUUUUUGGAGGAAGGUACUCUCGAGUGUGCAUCAUUAGUCGGAAGUGUGGGGAUUUUGAAGGAGCACUGGUUGAGUGCCUAGCAUCUGGUUUGUUUUAUAUGGUGUUGGGAAUGGCGAAAGAUGAAUGGUUUGCUCCCGUAGUGUGCUGUUGCAUUGGGUCUAGGUGAUGAUGAAAAUUAGUAGGGAGAAAUAGGUAAAGUCGAAAAAUAUAUUCAGACGAACAAUUGAUGACUCAGCUUGAAUCCGAGGUGUGAGUCCACCGUGAUGAUUGAAUUUGAAGACUGCUUGGUGUGACUCCAUGAUUGGAUCUGAGGACUGCUCGAAACACUAGGCAAUGAUGAUCCCUAGGUCUUUUUUGGUGAUUCUCUUACAUCUCUAUUUCUGUUUUUUUUUAAUUCUUAAUGGUCCACUUAGUUUUUCUUUUUCAGUUUUAUGUUCAUUUGCACAUAUCUUCAUAGUUGAACUGAUCAUGGGCCGGGCCUAUGUAAAAUUUGACAU
rnacentral:lncRNA from 1 species